rnacentral:rRNA from 1 species
GACGAACGCUGGCGGCGUGCUUAACACAUGCAAGUCGAACGGAAAGGCCCUGCUUUUGUGGGGUGCUCGAGUGGCGAACGGGUGAGUAACACGCGAGUAACCUGCCCUUGACUUUGGGAUAACUUCAGGAAACUGGGGCUAAUACCGGAUAGGAGCUCCUGCUGCAUGGUGGGGGUUGGAAAGUUUCGGCGGUUGGGGAUGGACUCGCGGCUUAUCAGCUUGUUGGUGGGGUAGUGGCUUACCAAGGCUUUGACGGGUAGCCGGCCUGAGAGGGUGACCGGCCACAUUGGGCCUGAGAUACGGCCCAGACUCCUACGGGAGGCAGCAGUGGGGAAUAUUGCACAAUGGGCGGAAGCCUGAUGCAGCAACGCCGCGUGCGGGAUGACGGCCUUCGGGUUGUAAACCGCUUUCGCCUGUGACGAAGCGUGAGUGACGGUAAUGGGUAAAGAAGCACCGGCUAACUACGUG